ACCAGAAAGCCAAGGGCUAACUACGUGCCAGCAGGCACGGUAUUACGUAGGUGGCAAGCGUUAUUCCGGAAAUUAUUGACGUAAAGCGGCGCGCAGGUGGUAUCUUAAGUCUGAUUGGAAAGCCCCACGGCUCAACCCGUGGAGGGGUCAUUGGAAACUGGGAGACUUGAGUGCAGAAGAGGGAAAGUGGAAUUCCAUGUGUAGCGGUGAAAUGCGUAGAGAUAUGGAGGAACACCAGUGGCGAAGGCGACUUUCUGGUCUGUAACUGACACUGAGGCGCGAAAGCGUGGGGAGCAAACAGGAUUAGAUACCCUGGUAGUCCACGCCGUAAACGAUGAGUGGUAAGUGUUAGAGGGUUUCCGCCCUUUAGUGCUGAAGUUAACGCAUUAAGCACUCCGCCUGGGGAGUACGGCCGCAAGGCUGAAACUCAAAGGAAUUGACGGGGGCCCGCACAAGCGGUGGAGCAUGUGGUUUAAUUUGAAGCAACGCGAAGAACCUUACCAGGUCUUGACAUCCUUUGACAACCCUAGAGAUAGGGCUUCUCCUUUGGGAGCAGAGUGACAGGUGGUGCAUGGUUGUUGUCAGCUCGUGUCGUGAGAUGUUGGGUUAAGUCCCGCAACGAGCGCAACCCUUGAUCUUAGUUGCCAUCAUUUAGUUGGGCACUUUAAGGUGACUGCCGGUGACAAACCGGAGGAAGGUGGGGAGGACGUCAAAUCAUCAUGCCCCUUAUGACCUGGGCUACACACGUGCUACAAUGGACGGUACAAAGAGCUGCAAGACCGCGAGGUGGAGCUAAUCUCAUAAAACCGUUCUCAGUUCGGAUUGUAGGCUGCAACUCGCCUACAUGAAGCUGGAAUCGCUAGUAAUCGCGGAUCAGCAUGCCGCGGGGAAUACGUUCCCGGGCCUUGUACACACCGCCCGUCACACCACGAGAGUUUGUAACACCCGAAGUCGGUGGGGUAACCUUUUGGAGCCAGC
rnacentral:rRNA from 1 species